rnacentral:tRNA from 1 species
ACCUUUUGAGUAUGGUUAGUACAUUUGCCUUCCAAGCAAAAAGAUUAAAUGUGAUUUAAAAGAGGUA